rnacentral:rRNA from 1 species
GACGAACGCUGGCGGCGUGCUUAACACAUGCAAGUCGAACGGAAAGGCCCUGCUUUUGUGGGGUGCUCGAGUGGCGAACGGGUGAGUAACACGUGAGUAACCUGCCCUUGACUUUGGGAUAACUUCAGGAAACUGGGGCUAAUACCGGAUAGGAGCUCCUGCUGCAUGGUGGGGGUUGGAAAGUUUGGGCGGGUGGGGAUGGACUCGCGGCUUAUCAGCUUGUUGGUGGGGUAGUGGCUUACCAAGGGUUUGACGGGUAGCCGGCAUGAGAGGGUGACCGGCCACAUUGGGACUGAGAGACGGCGCAGACGGCUACGGGAGGCAGCAGGGGGGAAUAUGGUACAGUGGGCGGAAGCCUGAGGAAGCAGCGCCGGGUGCGGGAUGAAGGCCUUCGGGUUGGAAACCGCUUUCGCCUGUGACGAAGCGUGAGUGACGGUAAUGGGUAAAGAAGCACCGGCUAACUACGUG